UACGGAGGAUGCGAGCGUUAUCCGGAUUUAUUGGGUUUAAAGGGUGCGCAGGCGGCCUGUUAAGUCAGCGGUAAAAGCCCGGGGCUCAACCCCGGCCUGCCGUCGGAACUGGGUGCCUUGAGUGGGCGAGAAGUAUGCGGAAUGCGUGGUGUAGCGGUGAAAUGCUUAGAUAUCACGAAGAACUCCGAUUGCGAAGGCAGCUCACUGGACUGCAACUGACACUGAGGCUCGAAAGUGUGGGUAUCAAACAGG
rnacentral:rRNA from 1 species